rnacentral:rRNA from 1 species
GACGAACCGAGCGAACGUUGUUCGGAAUCACUGGGCUUAAAGGGCGCGUAGGCGGGCUGUCAAGUCUGGGGUGAAAUCCCGCGGCUCAACCGUGGAACUGCCUCAGAUACUGACGGUCUCGAGGGAGGUAGGGGCGAGCGGAACUGAUGGUGGAGCGGUGAAAUGCGUUGAUAUCAUCAGGAACUCCGGUGGCGAAGGCGGCUCGCUGGCCCGAUACUGACGCUGAGGCACGAAAGCGUGGGGAGCAAACAGG